rnacentral:rRNA from 1 species
CUACGGGACGCAGCAGUGAGGAAUAUUGGUCAAUGGCCGGAAGGCUGAACCAGCCAAGCCGCGUGAAGGACGAAGGUGCCAAGCAUUGUAAACUUCUUUUGUUAAGGGACAAAAUCAGGCUCGAGAGCCUGACCGAGGGUACUUGAAGAAAAAGCAUCGGCUAACUCCGUGCCAGCAGCCGCGGUAAUACGGAGGAUGCGAGCGUUAUCCGGAUUUAUUGGGUUUAAAGGGUGCGUAGGCGGACUGUUAAGUCAGCGGUAAAAGCCCGGGGCUCAACCCCGGCGAGCCGUUGAAACUGGCCGUCU